CUCCCCUCUCUCUCUCUCUCUUUCUCUUCUCCUCUAGUCUCGUCCGCCCACUCGAUAUCCGCCGGUGUCGGUCCCGGCCACGUGAUUCCCCUUCGUCUCCCUUCCUGCAUCUGGCAUAGGUUUUCAUGGGAGGAAGAAGACGGGGAGGAAGGAAGAAGGCGGAAAAAGACGGAGCAAGAGUCUUCGGCAAAGUGCGAUUACCGCAGACUCGCGGAAUCCUUCGGCUUUUCUUCCCUUCUCCGUCGCGCCGCCUCUCCUUUCUCUCCUUUUUUCACUUCCUUCCGAGGCUACCGUCGGGAUGUUCCUACGUGCACGUCUCGUAGCGAGGAACGAAAGACGUGGGUAUUGAUCAGAGCCUGUCGCGGCUGCGGAAGUAGCCGACAUUACUUCACGAAGAACCGGCUGCCUUCUCGUAUGCGUUUACUAUUUAAUAUGCGCUUCCGUUCGCCUCGAUUAAUUAGACGGAUAUCUUCUGUUUUAUAUACGACAUCAAAAAAAAAAAAACUGGAAAUCGCGAACAGAUGAUCCAAGAAGUAGAACGAGACACUGCUGUGCUUGAAAUGUUACACACAUCGUGAGAUGGAUAAAACUUCCACAUAAUCGUCAUUCGUCAUUUUAAAAGCAUCUCAUUGCACGUGCAACAUGCGGCAUGGAAACUGUUGCAGCGACCACGUGGUGUAUCGCGAGAGAGGCUGCGUUUCCCACGGGCGGGGAAUGACAGGGGUGUAUACGGUCGGCCGAUCAGUAGGUAGAGGGGUUGUUUAGAGCGAGCGAAAGAGAGGAAGACAGACGGAGAAAGGGGAGAGGUGGAGAAACACCGAGGAGGGGUGAAAAGCACGUGGCGCAGGCGACGCGCGCCUCUCUGCUACGGGUGGCUGUAUAUCUAUCGGGCUUUCCACCCCCAGCAUCCCCCCCACUUGUUGUGCUUUACCGUGUUGUGUUGCUAUGUUGCCUUGUAUAUCGAGAAAGUUCAACGCCGGCUAGACGAUGUUUCCCAUCCGUCGGAUGGUUACCGUCCUCGGAAUCAACAGGCUUUCUCUCCUGUGGCAAGAUACCGACUCCUUGAAGGGGAUGUAUGAUUAUUGGGCGACCCUCUUUGCUGGAGUGUACCAUGGAAUAUUAAGGAGCAGCCCUAAAGGGAAUAUUCCGAACACCGGCUUUCGGGAAAUAUCGGAUAAUUUGAUAAUUUUACUUUUGUUACAUAAUUCAAAGUAGCUCGAGCGAACUUUUCGCGUCGCUCCCGAUCGCCCUUCGAGAUUUAAAUUCUCCUUUAACAUCGGAGCAAUUUCUUUCACGGCAAUCGCAAGCGUUUAAUUGGUCCAACGGAGAGAGGCAGGUGGCUACAUUAAUUGCAGCGGAUUGCCAGCAGCAGGACGGGCUGGUCAGGAUGCCUAAUCAUGGGGGUUGUGCGGCGAUAGGUCGGUCCGACGCGGCAGAAAAGGCGUCUCGCAUUGAAUGCUAAACAAAAGCUAAUUUAUAUCCGGAGGUCGAGACUAACGCUGGAGAUCGGGAGAUGAAUGGCUGUUCUCCUUGCAUACCAAGUGGCACGCCGAGUCCUUCAGGACCGCGGAGUUAAAGAUCUUGGGGGAGUGUUCCCCGUGGAAUAGUUGCUUGUAUCUUCAAAUAUUCGCGUACGGCGAGACGGCGAACUGGAUUUUAGGAGCUCGUUAAAAGAGACGCUCGAUCGCCGCUUGAUUUCUAUUCAGACGGCAUGUAAAUUUAAACGCCGUGAAUAAUUUUCAUCCUACAAUAUCUAAUAAUCAACCCUUUAUAGACGCUCUCUUUAAAAGUAAACUCCAGAGAGAGAGAGAGAGAGAAAGAGAGAUAAUUUCUAGUAAAGUUUUAAGACGCGGAGGCUGCAAGCAAUAUAUUUAGACGGCAAUUUCAAAUAAUUUGAAGAAGCAAGUUUCCUUCGUUUCGAAAGCGCGAUUAAAAGAAUUUUCAGAAUGAAAUAUAUUCGUUAAUAUUAAUUUUAUAUGCGACGAAAAAGUUUCGAAAUUAAAAAUGUUGAUAGAAAAAAAAUAUAAAUAAUAUAUAUUUAAUGAAUUCAAUUAACAAUUAGAUGUCGAACGCGUAAUCUAUAUUGUUACUAUUCGUGAGCUUUUUGUCGCGCAAAGCAGAAGGGUGAAAUACUCCGGUUUCUAUCGAUUAGUGAAAGAAAAAAUUUCCGAGCACGUAUUACCAGUGACGAGCAGGAUUCGCAUCGCGAGCUUUCGAAUCUAGGCGGUUUAAUCUAUCAUUGCGACGGCGAGACGAGAAGCCGGAGUAACUACCGCGGAAUAAUUAAUAAAUGCAAGGUGCAUUAGUAUGCGUUGCGGAGAAUGAGUUCGUGCGGACCUAAAGUCGGAUGUGCGCGCGGGCCCGGGGCUUGAGAGAGAAUUAUAAAAUAAUAAAGAGAAAAUUACGUAAUGUGAGGAUCAGAUGAGAAUUAGAGGACAAUGAAGACGGGGUAAACCUCCCUCAUCGUCUAAAGAUGGAGGGAGGGAGAAGAGUGGAAACGCGUUUGUCGGGGGUUGGCGGUGGAGAGAGAGAGAGAGAGAGAGGUGGAAAACCGGAGGUCGAGGACCAGACGUCUUAAUGUCUGCAUCGUCGGAAACUCGUCCCUCGCGCAUGACUAUCUCUGCGACCCUUACAUCUUUCCGAUAAGAACCUUAAGUCCCGAAGAUAAAUUCGACUCUUUCUGAACCUUUGAUAUUCGCCCCGAAUUCCGGCGUACCAGUGUCUGGCACAAAUCGGUAUAUCUAAUUAUUUGCGAAAGAUAGGAUUCAAAUUUUUAUCGUCCCGCAAGACAGCUCGUAAGUGACAUGUCUCGUAUAUAUGCGAUUUGUGACCUCGACUGCGUCUUGUAAAAAUAAACGUGUCUGUUGCAAUACGUAAAAGAAAAUGUCUCACACAAGAUAUCCAAUUGAAAAAUAGCAUAUAUAAUCUGUUUUAUCAAUAAAAAUUAUAAAUAUAUAAUAUUUUUUUAAAUCAAUCGUAUAUGUACAACUCUUGCAACAUUUCCAUUUUAUGAGCAACAUUAAAAAUUACAUAGUCUUUCGCAACUCUUUCAUUAUGAGAGCUGGUGAAAAAUAGCAUAUAUAAUAUGUUUUAUCAAUAAAAAUUAUAAAUACAUAUAUAAUAUUAUUUUUUAAUCAAUCGUAUGUACAACUCUUGCUUAACAUUUCUUUAAAAUUCUAUAAAAAGGUCUCCAACGUCUAUUUUAUGAGCAACAUUAAAAAUCCCACUAUUACAUAGUCUUUCGCAACCCUUUCAUUAUGAGAGCUGGUGAAAUGUCGCGAGACUUAUCGAAAUGGAAUACGAUGUCGCCGCGGGUGCUAAUCGGGGAUUCUAAUUAGUAGUCAGCCGACGCAGGCUCGACGCGACUUUGUAAAUGGUAACAAUGUUAUGUAAUUAGGUAAAAAGUUCUGUAAUCAAGAAGUAGAUCUUCUGCCGCCAUACCAUCGCGCGCUCUCUCGCUCUGAUCCUCCCACCCUCAUUCGUAUUAAAAUAGUCUCGCUAGGAAAGCGUGCGUUGUGCUCUGCAUAUCUUAAAACCCAGGGGCUGCGGUGGGGACGGUCUAAGAGCCACCACCCGUUCUGAUUUUUGCCGCGAUUCAUAUUACUACACAGGCGUGGCUGAGAUUAUGAGGGCGCUCUUCCAACUUAAAUUUCGACUAAAUUGGAACGCUCGAAAUACUCACUCGGUACCGUAAACUUAAAAUUUCGCGAGCAAACAUUUCUCGCCGAUUAUGUAAAUUCGCGAAACGCGAAAUACGCUAUAUAACGCGAUAUCACCGAAUUAUUAAAGAAAAUUCACUGUUUUUCUAUAUCUAUAUAAUUUAGUCAUUUCAAUCGUUUGCUAUUAUACGUAUAUCAUUUUUUUUAUCGAAUUUUUAGAUUUUACAAAAACAACAUUCCGGCAUUCGUGUUAAUUCGUCAAAAUUAUUAUGUACUCUCGAGUCGAAAGCGGAACGAUUCAUGCCUCGCGGCGUUGAAAGUCGCGCGCAAGAGUUUGAUUUUAAACGGGAUAAGAUCGGCGCGAGAAAACCGGCACAGAAGUGAUACAUGUUUCGCUACGCAUUACUUCCUGAGAUGCUGACAAAUGGAUACGUGAUUGCAACAAGCGAACUUGCCGCACCGUCGUUGUCGCGUAGACAUAUACGAUAGUGCAAUUUGUGCAUACGACCACACACACACAUAACGGCAUGCGUAAAAGGAGCUGCGCCACGUUGGAUAAGCAUACACGUAUGCACGCAUGAGAUCAUCGGUCGCGUACGCUCGCGGAAACGCUGACGUCAGUGGUUUCGAUUGCUUUUGUUACUUUUGUAAACGAUCGCGCUCGAUAUGAUGGUAUCAGGAAGACGAAUGCCGAUUGUGCACGUGCGCCCGACGAUCUAUACAUGUUUAAUUUUCUUUACUUAAACAAACUAUGUCACUCGUUACAAAAAUAGAACUACUGUUUAUUGAAAAUUAUAGCUGAAGCGCAUCAGAAUUUUGCAUACAUCUAUUAUGUAUCAAGUUUAUAUAUAUAUAUAUAUAUAUUUAUAUUUUAUGUAUGAUACAUUAGAAUUUUGAUCGGUCGAAAAAUCUAUGAUCGAAAAGAGCAAAGCAAUAUAAUUUGAAGGUAUAUGAUUUUCCAAAUGCAAGUUCAGUAAGCCAACUUAAUGCAUUAAUCCUUCUCGUUAAAUAAAUAUUAUAAAAAUGUAUGAGUUUUUUUUCUUAUGUAACAACAGCACGAUCACGCGCCUGCAUUGUGAAAUAUCAUUGGUAUCGAACACGUAUAAAAAUGCCGUGCAAUCCACAUAUCGUAAAGAUUAGAGAUUGACAUGCGAUUGACGGAGGGAAAAAAAACCAGUGAACAUUGAAAUUGUUUGCGACUUGCACAAAUUAUAACGCGAGUCGUUGGCACAUCGUCACGCAGUUCGAAUUCGAACAGAGAUUAUACGAGUCGUGCAGCAUGUGAGUCAUGCGCAUAAUGAUACGUGAAUAUGAAACUUUUUACACGCAAGAAACAUCAUCAUCACACAUUGUCACGUACUCGUAAAUAAUUUCCAAUAACAUAAUAAUAAUAAUCAAAUGUCAGCACGCGAAUUUAGAAUUUCGCAAGACGAGAGAACGAUCCGUCGAGCAAAUUGGAGCGUCGGAUGAUUCAUAAGAAAAUAUAAAAAAUGAUCUAAGCGUUUGACAUUCGGUCUCAUUAAGGACUCUCCUUCUACGGAUAAGUAACGAGAGCGAAUCGCGGAGGGAAUGCGGAACUCGACACGGUGGAAUUAAAUAAAAAUAAAACGCGAGAUAAUAACGUUAGCGAAGGAGUCGAGAACCCAAGACAAAUAGUCGAGGGAAAACAAAGCGUAUUAUAAAUACCGGGUGACAGGACGAGUGGUGCGGGAGAGUGAGCGUAAGCGCAAGAGGGUAGUCGGCCACGAUGGUCGAAGGGUGGAGGCUUUCGAGGAGAGAGAGGAGAAUUCACGAUAUAUAGUAGCCGACGACUCUUGGGAGAAAACGCUCGAGAAAACAGGGACCCCGCCAGCAUUUUUGCUACCUGCCGACACAAUGAGCCGCCGGAUUUCUUUUCUCGUUCCUACCCCCAUCCCACGCGAGAGUAUUCUUACCCGCCGGAAUUAUAAAUUUCACGCACCUACCCUCGCGAGAAUUAUAUAGCCAAUAAUCUCGAAAUCGUAUUACGAUUGAAAUGUGUGACCGUUUGAUUGAGAGAAAUCAAUCUGAGAUUAUUCUCUACGAAAUUAUUAUAUUUAUGAAAAGUUCGUAAAUCUCUUUGCGUAUAAUUUCUCUGUCUUCGAGAAAAUAUAUCUGCAUUUUAAAAUUCAUUUUUACCUGUCCGUUGAAGAUUAUUUUCUACAACUGUCAUAAGAUUUAAUAUAAUCUACGUAAUAAGCAAAAACACUUACACUAGGACGACCGUGGCCGCGUGGAUUCAGCUGCCAGGGAACUGUCGAUGGCUGAAAAUGCUCCUUUCCCCACGAACCGUUGUCAAACGGAUUUUCACCAAUGUGUCCCUGAAACAAAAUCAAUAUUACAAUUAGCAAGAUUACAACGACACAUUUUUAAUGUGUAUAUAAAAAUAUAUAUUUUGCUAAAAAAAGUUUCUUGAAAAUAUAUUUCGUCAACAAUAAAAUUGUAAAGAUCGUUAAUAUGAGAGUUUCGAUGAGAGAAGUGGAGAAAUUUACUUGUACGAUUGCGAGUGACCGCGUAUUUUUAUUCUCACAUCUCGAUAAACAAGAAAAAUUACACGGCAGGCCAGGUCGAGGGGCAUCGAUCUUCGAGGCUCCCCGAAGUUUCAAAGUUUUUUCGACGCUUUUCCGCAUGCCGCGUUCUCGCCGGCGAGCUUAUUUUUGUAAUAUAUUCCGCGGCGUCUCCCCCUCCACUCUUUCUCGACUUUGCACCCCGUAAGCCUUAUUUUUCUUUUAACUUUAUUUUUAACCUAGAAUCUCUUCCGCGACGGCAAGGUGGCACGCACAUAAAUCACCGGGUAUAAUGAGAACACUUCGUCUUCGGGUGCUUCGCCCUCUCGGUCGCGGACGCAUCUUUUGCGCGAAACGGCUAUUAUAUUAUAUUCGUUGCCUCGCCGCGGAAAUCUCGACCGUCUUUAUAUUAAUAUUCAUUUCCCUCAUGAGGUGACACCGGCAUUUCGCGCACGCGAAAUAAAGAACGCACACCGUCGAUUUAAAAAAGACCUCAAAGAUCCAUAAUAACGGAAAGAAUACACGAGCGAAUGUAAUUUAAAUAUGAUAUUUUACUAAACGUCACACAAUGGAGUAUUUUAUGUGCUAUUGAAACUGGCGAUAUUUUAUGUUCCGUAUUUUAUGAUGUAAAGUUUUAUUUACAUUGCCGUUAUUUUAAAUCGCGUUUUUCGCCGUAAAAAAACGAGACAUCAUAUGUUGCUAGAUUUAUUAAAACAUAUAUGAGGCACGCUUUUUUUGGUGCAGUUGUUCUCAAUUUUUUUUAGCCGAUGAACAAAUUAUUAAUAUUAUCGAGAUAAACUCGAGUAAAUGUAAUUACGGUUACUUGUAUAAUUAAUUUUAGAUGUAUCGUUUAUACAUUUGUCAAUAAUAAAAACUCGUUCAGAGCAACGUGCCAUCUUCUACACUUGAAAACUAUCGCUCUAAUCAAUUAUUUGACGUAAUAGUUCACCAUUUGAACUAUGAGAAUCAAUUAUAUCUAAAGUCCAAAAGUUUGCCAGAAUCAUAAUGAUGCAACCAUAAUGAUUUACAGGAAUCAACCGAGGGUGGAAUAUGACCGAGAUCCUAAAUUAUUUUGGCAUGCAUGAUAUAAUUAGCUAAAUGUUUGUUCAAGUGUUACGCAAAUCUCAGAAAUACGCUUAAUGUCGCCGCAAUAAAUUGAAAUACGAAUACGAAUAAAGGAAAAUACAAUCAUC